GUGGAGGUCCCGAAAGUGAGUAGCCUCCGUAGUGACUUUCGAAUGGCUCUUCCUCAGCCGGUGAAGUUCGUCAUCCAACUCCUUUGAUUUCUUCGUCAAGUGACGAACUUUCCUUCUGAGAUCCUGGAUCAUCGACUUCCUAGGAAUCCCCUAUGGUAGGAGAAGAGCUUCGGCAGGGCACUGUCACUGGGAGACAAGAGCGCCACAACACAAAUCAGUGCAAAAAAAAUAAAAGAAAAGAAAAAGAAUGUAG
rnacentral:lncRNA from 1 species